GGAUUGUGGCUCAAAGGUAGAGUGCUCGCCUAGCAUGUGCAAGGCCCUGGGUUCAAUCCUCAGCACCA
rnacentral:tRNA from 1 species